UACGUAGGUGGCAAGCGUUGUCCGGAUUUACUGGGCGUAAAGAGCGCGCAGGCGGUUGAUUAAGUCGAAUGUGAAAGCCCCCGGCUCAACUGGGGAGGGUCAUUCGAUACUGAUUGACUUGAAGGCAGGAGAGGGAAGUGGAAUUCCCGGUGUAGUGGUGAAAUGCGUAGAUAUCGGGAGGAACACCAGUGGCGAAGGCGACUUCUUGGCCUGUUCUUGACGCUGAGGCGCGAAAGCUAGGGGAGCAAACGGG
rnacentral:rRNA from 1 species